GAAGUGGCGGAAGGAAGUGGCGGAAGGAAGUGGCGGAAGGAAGUGGCGGAAGGAAGUGGCGGAAGGAAGUGGCGGAAGGAAGUGGCGGAAGUGGCGGAAGUGGCGGAAGUGGCGGAAGUGGCGGAAGUGGCGGAAGUGGCGGAAGUGGCGGAAGGAAGGAAGGAAGGAAGGAAGGAAGGAAGGAAGGAAGGAAGGAAGGAAGGAAGGAAGGAAGGAAGGAAGGAAGGAAGGAAGGAAGGAAGGAAGGAAGGAAGGAAGGAAGGAAGGAAGGAAGGAAGGAAGGACCCUAUGUCCUCUUGGAAUUUCUAUCAGCUGAACACCAUUGGAAAUAGGAAGAAAGAAUUACUUCAGGAGUCCUUUAAGGAAGAAAAUAAAAAAAAUUGAUGCAUUUCUAGUCCCUUGUCUUCUAGUCCCUUGCCUUGCCUAGAAAACAAGAAAGUAUAGACAAUUACUCUAUAAAGCAUCAGCACAAGGUAUGUGUACCCAAAGACACUUUAGUGUCUUUCUUAACGUUUAAGAGAUGCACCUUUUCCUUAAAUGAAAACUUGUUUACAACUGAAUACACUAAUUUCUAACUGACUAUAAUUUAAAUACCAUAUUCUAUCAGUUUUACAAUGCAUCAAUGUAAAACAGCACUUCUGUACAAAAUGACAUUACUUUUUUGCAGUCUGAAAAUUGAAAAGCUUUUGCUAUAGGAGAAGCCUGCAGCACAUGGAAAGUACAUUUUAUUUAUGUAAUAAAAUAUUUUGCAAUAAUUUUAUUACUAUUUUAUUCCAACUUCCUUAAAUAAAAACCCCUAAUUUUAUCUUA